CCUACGGGCGGCAGCAGUGAGGAAUAUUGGUCAAUGGCCGGAAGGCUGAACCAGCCAUGCCGCGUGAAGGUCAGUGCCCUAUGGGCGUUAAACUUCUUUUGUGCGGGAGCAAUAAUGGUCACGUGUGGCCAGACGAGAGUACCGUACGAAUAAGCAUCGGCUAACUCCGUGCCAGAAGCCGCGGUAAUACGGGGGAUGCAAGCGUUAUCCGGAUUUAUUGGGUUUUAAGGGUGCGUAGGUUGGGAGGUAAGUCAGCGGUGAAAUGCCCCGGCUCAAAGGGGUGAAGUGCCAUUGAUACUGCCGUGCUGGAAUGCGGAUGCCGUAGGAGGAAUGUGUGGUGUAGCGGUGAAAUGCAUAGAUAACACACAGAACACCGAUUGCGAAGGCAUCUCACGAAUCCGCGAUUGACGCUGAUGCACGAAAGCGUGGGUAUCAAACAGGAUUAGAUACCCCUGUAGUC
rnacentral:rRNA from 1 species